GAUGAACGCUGGCGGCGUGCUUAACACAUGCAAGUCGAACGAAGCAUUUAAGACAGAUUCCUUCGGUUUGAAGUCUUUUAUGACUGAGUGGCGGACGGGUGAGUAACGCGUGGGUAACCUGCCUCAUACAGGGGGAUAGCAGCUGGAAACGGCUGGUAAUACCGCAUAAGCGCACAGUACCACAUGGUACAGUGUGAAAAACUCCGGUGGUAUGAGAUGGACCCGCGUCUGAUUAGCUUGUUGGCGGGGUAACGGCCCACCAAGGCGACGAUCAGUAGCCGACCUGAGAGGGUGACCGGCGACAUUGGGACUGAGACACGGCGCAGACUCCUACGGGAGGCAGCAGUGGGGAAUAUUGCACAAUGGAGGAAACUCUGAUGCAGCGACGCCGCGUGAGUGAAGAAGUAGUUCGCUAUGUAAAGCUCUAUCAGCAGGGAAGAUAGUGACGGUACCUGACUAAGAAGCUCCGGCUAAAUACGUG
rnacentral:rRNA from 1 species